GAUGAAGAACGCAGCGAAAUGCGAUAAGUAAUGUGAAUUGCAGAAUUCAGUGAAUCAUCGAAUCUUUGAACGCACCUUGCACCCUUUGGCAUUCCGAAGGGUAUGCUCGUUUGAGUGUCAUUGUACUCUCACACUCCCAAUUGCUUUGGAUUGGGAGCGGUGGACUUGGGUGUUGCUGCUUGACUGAGGCUCACCUGAAAUAUGUUAGUGCACCUCUUGAUUGGACAUAGUACGGCGUGAUAAGUGUCUUCGCCGGCUCCUCGCAAAGAGGGUGGCCGAUCGGGAGCUCUGUUGCUUCAAACUGUCGUCGGACAAUCUUCUGGCGACUUGACCUCAAAUCGAGUAGGACUACCCGCUGAACUUAAGCAUAUCAAUAAGCGGAGGA
rnacentral:misc_RNA from 1 species